CUCUCACCUAAAGCCAAGAAUCACUGUUUCUUGUAGCAGUGGUUUAAACAGAGGUAUAAACAGCAAGUGAAUCUCGUCGUCUUUGCAGGGCUGUGGCCAUGCCCCUCAAAGUGAAUUUAGAGGCUCUACAGCC
ensembl:snoRNA